rnacentral:rRNA from 1 species
UGGGGAAUUUUGGACAAUGGGCGAAAGCCUGAUCCAGCAAUGCCGCGUGUGUGAAGAAGGCCUUCGGGUUGUAAAGCACUUUUGUCCGGAAAGAAAUCCUUGGCUCUAAUACAGUCGGGGGAUGACGGUACCGGAAGAAUAAGCACCGGCUAACUACGUGCCAGCAGCCGCGGUAAUACGUAGGGUGCAAGCGUUAAUCGGAAUUACUGGGCGUAAAGCGUGCGCAGGCGGUUUGCUAAGACCGGUGUGAAAUCCCCGGGCUCAACCUGGGAACUGCAUUGGUGACUGGCAGGCUAGAGUAUGGCAGAGGGGGGUAGAAUUCCACGUGUAGCAGUGAAAUGCGUAGAGAUGUGGAGGAAUACCGAUGGCGAAGGCAGCCCCCUGGGCCAAUACUGACGCUCAUGCACGAAAGCGUGGGGAGCAAACAGGAUUAGAUACCCUGGUAGUCCACGCCCUAAACGAUGUCAACUAGUUGUUGGGGAUUCAUUUCCUUAGUAACGUAGCUAACGCGUGAAGUUGACCGCCUGGGGAGUACGGUCGCAAGAUUAAAACUU